UAGGGAAUCUUCCGCAAUGGACGAAAGUCUGACGGAGCAACGCCGCGUGUGUGAAGAAGGUCUUCGGAUCGUAAAGCACUGUUAUUAGAGAAGAACAACCGGUAGAGUAACUGUUACCGGCUUGACGGUAUCUAACCAGAAAGCCACGGCUAACUACGUGCCAGCAGCCGCGGUAAUACGUAGGUGGCAAGCGUUGUCCGGAUUUAUUGGGCGUAAAGGGAGCGCAGGCGGUGAUUUAAGUCUGAUGUGAAAGCCCACGGCUCAACCGUGGAAGGUCAUUGGAAACUGGAUCACUUGAGUGCAGAAGAGGAAAGUGGAAUUCCAUGUGUAGCGGUGAAAUGCGUAGAUAUAUGGAGGAACACCAGUGGCGAAGGCGACUUUCUGGUCUGUAACUGACGCUGAGGCUCGAAAGCAUGGGGAGCAAACAGG
rnacentral:rRNA from 3 species